AGAGUUUGAUCCUGGCUCAGGACGAACGCUGGCGGCGUGCCUAAUACAUGCAAGUUGAGCGGAUUUAGUCGGGAGCUUGCUCCUGACUGAGUUAGCGGCGGACGGGUGAGUAACACGUAGGUAACCUGCCCGUAAGACCGGGAUAACAUUCGGAAACGGGUGCUAAUAGCGGAUACGCAAUACCCUCGCAUGGGGGAAUUGGGAAAGGCGGAGCAAUCUGCCGCUUACGGAUGGACCUGCGGCGCAUUAGCUAGUUGGUGAGGUAACGGCUCACCAAGGCGACGAUGCGUAGCCGACCUGAGAGGGUGAUCGGCCACACUGGGACUGAGACACGGCCCAGACUCCUACGGGAGGCAGCAGUAGGGAAUCUUCCGCAAUGGACGAAAGUCUGACGGAGCAACGCCGCGUGAGUGAGGAAGGCCUUCGGGUCGUAAAGCUCUGUUGCCAGGGAAGAACGGGUAGGAGAGUAACUGCUCUUGCCAUGACGGUACCUGAGAAGAAAGCCCCGGCUAACUACGUGCCAGCAGCCGCGGUAAUACGUAGGGGGCAAGCGUUGUCCGGAAUUAUUGGGCGUAAAGCGCGCGCAGGCGGCUUUGUAAGUCUUGUGUUUAAACGUGGGGCUCAACUCCAGGUCGCAUGGGAAACUGCAAGGCUUGAGUGCAGAAGAGGAAAGUGGAAUUCCACGUGUAGCGGUGAAAUGCGUAGAGAUGUGGAGGAACACCAGUGGCGAAGGCGACUUUCUGGGCUGUAACUGACGCUGAGGCGCGAAAGCGUGGGGAGCAAACAGGAUUAGAUACC
rnacentral:rRNA from 1 species